rnacentral:tRNA from 1 species
GGAGAGAUGGCUCAGUGGUUAAGAGCACUGAUUGCAAGUCCAUAGGUCCUGGGUUCAAUUCCCAGUAACCACA